UAGGGAAUCUUCCACAAUGGGCGAAAGCCUGAUGGAGCAACGCCGCGUGUGUGAUGAAGGCUUUAGGGUCGUAAAGCACUGUUGUAUGGGAAGAAAUGCUAGAAUAGGGAAUGAUUCUAGUUCGACGGUACCAUACCAGAAAGGGACGGCUAAAUACGUGCCAGCAGCCGCGGUAAUACGUAUGUCCCGAGCGUUAUCCGGAUUUAUUGGGCGUAAAGCGAGCGCAGACGGUUGAUUAAGUCUGACGUGAAAGCCCGGAGCUCAACUCCGGAAUGGCAUUGGAAACUGGUUAACUUGAGUGUUGUAGAGGUAAGUGGAACUCCAUGUGUAGCGGUGGAAUGCGUAGAUAUAUGGAAGAACACCAGUGGCGAAGGCGGCUUACUGGACAACAACUGACGUUGAGGCUCGAAAGUGUGGGUAGCAAACAGGAUUAGAUACCCUGGUAGUCCACACCGUNNCGAUGAAUACUAGGUGUUAGGAGGUUUCCGCCUCUUAGUGCCGAANCUAACGCAUUAAGUAUUCCGCCUGGGGAGUACNACCGCAAGGUUG
rnacentral:rRNA from 1 species